AUCAGUUGGUUACCAAAAGACUUCAGCAGGCCCCGGAUAGUGCUGCAACAUGACCACAGAGCUUGUGAGGGCCCAGUGGGAGUUAGGACCCCGGAGUGCUGAGCCACAAAAGGCUUUUGACCCUGCAAGGAGAUGGAUCACUACACAGAAAUCCCUGUGGCAACAGAAACCAAACAUGCUCUCAAAGCAACAGCAUCCUCUCAGUCAGUCACUGAACAGCUCGGUUACCUUGGGCUGCUGCAGAAGGAUGUCUCUCCAGUAUUUUACUCAGAGAGGCAGCAAAUCUCCUCUGCUUUCACCCAUGGCUGACAAACAGCAGACACAUUUGGGAGGAGCUGAACUCCUGGGCAUGGUUUGCACCAUCAUCAAUCUCAGCCCUGCACCAACUCCUUGAGCAACCCCAAGAAAAAAGCACCAAACAAACCAAGAAAAAAUGACCCUUCUUGUGCUGCUGUCUGCAUUUCAUCUGCAAGGUGAAGAAAAUACUAACUUCUUAUCAAUGUAAAAUGUCUGUCAAUCCACAAGGAGACCUGCAACUCUACAGAUGUUACCACAGACUGCUGAACAGCCAUUUGCUACUGUCAAUAAAGCAUAACUCCUCUGGGAGAAA